rnacentral:rRNA from 1 species
GACGAACGCUGGCGGCGUGCUUAACACAUGCAAGUCGAACGGAAAGGCACUGAUUUUGUGGUGUGACCGAGUGGCGACCGGGUGAGUAACACGUGAGUAACCUGCCCUUGACUUUGGGAUAACUUCAGGAAACUGGGGCUACUACCGUAUAGGAGCUCAUGCUGCAUGGUGGGGGUUGGAAAGUUUCGGCGGUUGGGGAUGGACUCGCGGCUUAUCAGCUUGUUGGUGGGGUAGUGGCUUACCAAGGCAUUGACGGGUAGCCGGCCUGAGAGGGUGACCGGCCACAUGGGGACUACGAUACGGCCCAGACUCCUACGGGAGGCAACAGUGGGGAAUAUUGCACAAUGAGCGCAAGCCUGAUGCAGCAGCGCCGCGUUCGUGAUGACGGCCUUCUGGUUGUAAACCGCUUUCGCCUGUGACGAAGCGUGAGUGACGGUAAUGAGUAAAUAAGCACCGGCUAACUACGUG